GUGGGGAAUCUUGCGCAAUGGGCGAAAGCCUGACGCAGCCAUGCCGCGUGAAUGAUGAAGGUCUUAGGAUUGUAAAAUUCUUUCACCGGGGACGAUAAUGACGGUACCCGGAGAAGAAGCCCCGGCUAACUUCGUGCCAGCAGCCGCGGUAAUACGAAGGGGGCUAGCGUUGCUCGGAAUUACUGGGCGUAAAGGGCGCGUAGGCGGACAGCUUAGUCAGAGGUGAAAGCCCAGGGCUCAACCUUGGAAUUGCCUUUGAUACUGGCUGUCUUGAGUUUGGGAGAGGUGAGUGGAACUCCGAGUGUAGAGGUGAAAUUCGUAGAUAUUCGGAAGAACACCAGUGGCGAAGGCGACUCACUGGCCCAAUACUGACGCUGAGGCGCGAAAGCGUGGGGAGCAAACAGGAUUAGAAACCCUUGUAGUCC
rnacentral:rRNA from 1 species